rnacentral:rRNA from 1 species
AGCGAACGCUGGCGGCAGGCUUAACACAUGCAAGUCGAGCGCCCCGCAAGGGGAGCGGCAGACGGGUGAGUAACGCGUGGGAACGUGCCCUUCGGUCUGGAAUAACCCAGGGAAACUUGGGCUAAUACCGGAUACGUCCGAAAGGAGAAAGAUUUAUCGCCGAAGGAUCGGCCCGCGUAAGAUUAGCUAGUUGGUGAGGUAACGGCUCACCAAGGCAAUGAUCUUUAGCUGUUCUGAGAGGAAGAUCAGCCACACUGGGACUGAGACACGGCCCAGACUCCUACGGGAGGCAGCAGUGGGGAAUAUUGGACAAUGGGCGCAAGCCUGAUCCAGCCAUGCCGCGUGAGUGAUGAAGGCCUUAGGGUUGUAAAGCUCUUUUACCAGGGAAGAUAAUGACGGUACCUGGAGAAUAAGCCCCGGCUAACUUCGUGCCAGCCGCCGCUGUAA